rnacentral:rRNA from 1 species
GAUGAACGCUAGCUACAGGCUUUAACACAUGCAAGUCGAGGGGCAGCGGGGAGGAUGCUUGCAUUCUCCGCCGGCGACCGGCGCACGGGUGAGUAACGCGUAUCGGACCUGCCUCAUACCCGGGAACAGCCUUGCGAAAGUAAGAUUAAUGCCCGAUGUUCCGCAGAUGCCGCAUGGUGUCUUCGGCAAAGAUUUCUUCGGUAUGAGAUGGCGAUGCGUCCCAUUAGCUUGUUGGCGGGAUAACGGCCCACCAAGGCGACGAUGGGUAGGGGUUCUGAGAGGAAGGUCCCCCACAUUGGAACUGAGACAUGGUCCAAACUCCUACGGGAGGCAGCAGUGAGGAAUAUUGGUCAAUGGGCGGAAGCCUGAACCAGCCAAGUAGCGUGCAGGAUGACGGCCCUCCGGGUUGUAAACUGCUUUUAGUUGGGAUAAACGGCGGGACGUGUCCCGCUUUGCAUGUACCAUCAAGAAAAAGGACCGGCUAAUUCCGUGCCAGCCGCCG